rnacentral:rRNA from 1 species
AGCCACAGCCAUGUCACCCUGCAGCCCAAGACCGGUUACUCACUGAAGCUAAGCAGGGCUGAGCCUGGUCAGUACCUGGAUGGGAGACCACUAGGGAACACUAGGUUGCUGUUC